GCGGGUAUGGCGGAAUUGGCAGACGCGAAGGAUUUAGGUUCCUUUACCAGCCGGUGUGCAGGUUCAAGUCCUGUUACCCGCA
rnacentral:tRNA from 1 species